GACGAACGCUGGCGGCGUGCUUAACACAUGCAAGUCGAACGGAAAGGCCCUGCUUUUGUGGGGUGCUCGAGUGGCGAACGGGUGAGUAACACGUGAGUAACCUGCCCUUGACUUUGGGAUAACUUCAGGAAACUGGGGCUAAUACCGGAUAGGAGCUCCUGCUGCAUGGUGGGGGUUGGAAAGUUUCGGCGGUUGGGGAUGGACUCGCGGCUUAUCAGCUUGUUGGUGGGGUAGUGGCUUACCAAGGCUUUGACGGGUAGCCGGCCUGGGAGGGUGACCGGCCACAUUGGGACUGGGAUAAGGCACAGACUCCUACGGGAGGCAGCGGUGGGGAAUAUUGCACAAUGGGCGGAAGCCUGAUGCAGCAACGCCGCGUGCGGGAUGACGGCCUUCGGGUUGUAAACCGCUUUCGCCUGUGACGAAGCGUGAGUGACGGUAAUGGGUAAAGAAGCACCGGCUAACUACGUG
rnacentral:rRNA from 1 species